GAUGAACGCUGGCGGCGUGCCUAAUACAUGCAAGUCGAGCGCAGGAAACCGUCUGAACCCUUCGGGGGGACGACGGCGGAAUGAGCGGCGGACGGGUGAGUAACACGUAAAGAACCUGCCCACGGGUCUGGGAUAACCACGAGAAAUCGGGGCUAAUACCGGACGGGUCAUCGGACCGCAUGGUCCGAGGAUGAAAGGCGCUCCGGCGUCGCCCGUGGAUGGCUUUGCGGUGCAUUAGCUAGUUGGUGGGGUAACGGCCCACCAAGGCGACGAGGCAUAGCCGACCUGAGAGGGUGAUCGGCCACACUGGGACUGAGACACGGCCCAGACUCCUACGGGAGGCAGCAGUAGGGAAUCUUCCACAAUGGACGAAAGUCUGAUGGAGCAACGCCGCGUGAACGAUGAAGGCCCUCGGGUCGUAAAGUUCUGUUGUAAGGGAAGAACAAGUGCCGCAGGCAAUGGCGGCACCUUGACGGUACCUUGCGAGAAAGCCACGGCUAACUACGUGCCAGCCGCCGCCGUAA
rnacentral:rRNA from 1 species